ACGAACGCUGGCGGCAUGCCUAACACAUGCAAGUCGAACGAGACCUUCGGGUCUAGUGGCGCACGGGUGCGUAACGCGUGGGAACCUGCCCUUAGGUUCGGAAUAACUCCCCGAAAGGGGUGCUAAUACCGGAUAAUGUCUUCGGACCAAAGAUUUAUCGCCUUUGGAUGGGCCCGCGUUGGAUUAGCUAGUUGGUAGGGUAAAAGCCUACCAAGGCGACGAUCCAUAGCUGGUCUGAGAGGAUGAUCAGCCACACUGGGACUGAGACACGGCCCAGACUCCUACGGGAGGCAGCAGUGGGGAAUAUUGGACAAUGGGCGAAAGCCUGAUCCAGCAAUGCCGCGUGAAGGAUGACGGUCCUAUGGAUUGUAAACUUCUUUUGUACAGGGAUAAACCUACUCUCGUGAGGGUAGCUGAAGGUACUGUACGAAUAAGCACCGGCUAACUCCGUG
rnacentral:rRNA from 1 species